rnacentral:rRNA from 1 species
GUCCUAGCCCUAAACCAUCAGGACUUGGGGUGGCCCGCGUAGGCGGGUCGUCCCGUAGCUAACGCGUUAAGUCCUGCGCCUGGGGAGUACGGUCGCAAGACUGAAACUCAAAGGAAUUGACGGGGGCCCGCACAAGCGGUGGAACAUGUGGUUCAAUUCGACGCAACGCGAAGAACCUUACCUGGGCUUGAACCGCUACUGACCAACGGUAGAAAUAUCGUCUUCCCGCAAGGGACAGUAGUAGAGGUGCUGCAUGGCUGUCGU